rnacentral:rRNA from 1 species
GACGAACGCUGGCGGCGUGCUUAACACAUGCAAGUCGAACGGAAAGGCCCUGCUUUUGUGGGGUGCUCGAGUGGCGAACGGGUGAGUAACACGUGAGUAACCUGCCCUUGACUUUGGGAUAACUUCAGGAAACUGGGGCUAAUACCGGAUAGGAGCUCCUGCUGCAUGGUGGGGGUUGGAAAGUUUCGGCGGUUGGGGAUGGACUCGCGGCUUAUCAGCUUGUUGGUGGGGUAGUGGCUUACCAAGGCUUUGACGGGUAGCCGGCCUGAGAGGGUGACUGGCCACAUUGGGACUAAGAUACUGCCCAGACUCCUACGGGAGGCAGCAGUGGGGAAUAUUGCACAAUGGGCGGAAGCCUGAUGCAGCAACGCCGCGUGCGGGAUGACGGCCUUCGGGUUGUAAACCGCUUUCGCCUGUGACGAAGCGUGAGUGACGGUAAUGGGUAAAGAAGCACCGGCUAACUACGUG